rnacentral:rRNA from 1 species
GACGAACGCUGGCGGCGUGCUUAACACAUGCAAGUCGAACGAGACGAUUGAAAGCUUGCUUUUAAAAGUCGAGUGGCAAACGGGUGAGUAACGCGUAGACAACCUGCCUUUGAGAUGGGGACAACAGUUCGAAAGGACUGCUAAUACCGAAUGUUGUAUAUUUUCCACAUGGAAGAUAUAUUAAAGAUGGCCUCUAUUUAUAAGCUAUCGCUCAAAGAUGGGUCUGCGUCUGAUUAGCUGGUUGGUGGGGUAACGGCCUACCAAGGCGACGAUCAGUAGCCGGUCUGAGAGGAUUAACGGCCACAGUGGUACUGAGACACGGCCCAGACUCCUACGGGAGGCAGCAGUGGGGAAUCUUCCACAAUGGACGAAAGUCUGAUGGAGCAACGCCGCGUGAGUGAAGAAGGGUUUCGGCUCGUAAAGCUCUGUUGUCGGGGACGAAUGUGCAGUAUUUGAAUAAAGUACUGCAAUGACGGUACCUGACGAGGAAGCCACGGCUAACUACGUGCCAGCCGCCGCAGUAA